UACGUAGGGUGCGAGCGUUAAUCGGAAUUACUGGGCGUAAAAGUGUGCGCAGGCGGCAAAGCAAGUCGAGUGUGAAAGCCCCGGGCUUAACUUGGGAAUUGCGCUCGAAACUACUUUGCUGGAGUUGUGGCAGAGGAAGGUGGAAUUCCACGUGUAGCGGUGAAAUGCGUAGAGAUGUGGAGGAACACCAAUGGCGAAGGCAG
rnacentral:rRNA from 1 species